AAAGAGUGAGUUUAAUAUAUAAAGUCUUACACUCCCUUGCUCCACCACCACUAAAGCAGUUCAUUAGGCAUAAAGAAAACUCAGACAGGACCACUCGAGCUACAACCCGAGGAGACUUGUUUAUACACCACAGACGGACAGCAUUUGGGCAGAACGUCCUCUCUGUCCACGGUGGCCAUCUGUGGAACAGUCUUCCUCAAUCCAUUAGAAAAUGCUUGACAUUCAACUUGGCACAGGUUAAAAACUGGUUAUGGACAAAUCAAGUGUGUGAUCAUGUAUAAAUUGUAUAGUUUUAAUGUUUUAUUUGGGAAUAGAAUCGUUUGUAUGUGUGAGUUUGGUGAUGGAGUUUUUAUUAUGAAUGAAUUGUGAAUUUUUU